UACGGAGGGUGCAAGCGUUGUCCGGAUUUAUUGGGUUUAAAGGAUGCGUAGAUGGCAGGAUAAGUUAUUGGUCGAUAUCAAACUCAAUUUGGUGGAAGCUGGUAAUACUGUUCUGCUAGAGGACAGGAGAGGUUGAUGGAACUCUAUGUGUAGGGGUGAAAUCCGUUGAUCUAUAGAGGAACACCAAAUGGCGAAGGCAAUCAACUAUUCUGUUCCUGACAUUGAGGCAUGAAAGCGUGGGUAGCAAACCGG
rnacentral:rRNA from 1 species